rnacentral:rRNA from 1 species
UUGCUACUUUGCCGGCGAGCGGCGGACGGGUGAGUAAUGUCUGGGAAACUGCCUGAUGGAGGGGGAUAACUACUGGAAACGGUAGCUAAUACCGCAUAAUGUCGCAAGACCAAAGAGGGGGACCUUCGGGCCUCUUGCCAUCAGAUGUGCCCAGAUGGGAUUAGCUAGUAUGUGGGGUAACGGCUCACCUAGGCGACGAUCCCUAGCUGGUCUGAGAGGAUGACCAGCCACACUGGAACUGAGACACGGUCCAGACUCCUACGGGAGGCAGCAGUGGGGAAUAUUGCACAAUGGGCGCAAGCCUGAUGCAGCCAUGCCGCGUGUAUGAAGAAGGCCUUCGGGUUGUAAAGUACUUUCAGCGGGGAGGAAGGCGGUGAGGUUAAUAACCUCAUCGAUUGACGUUACCCGCAGAAGAAGCACCGGCUAACUCCGUGCCAGCAGCCGCGGUAAUACGGAGGGUGCAAGCGUUAAUCGGAAUUACUGGGCGUAAAGCGCACGCAGGCGGUCUGUCAAGUCAGAUGUGAAAUCCCCGGGCUCAACCUGGGAACUGCAUUCGAAACUGGCAGGCUAGAGUCUUGUAGAGG